GAUGAACGCUGGCGGCGUGCCUAAUACAUGCAAGUCGAGCGAACAGACGAGGAGCUUGCUCCUCUGACGUUAGCGGCGGACGGGUGGGUAACACGUGGAUAACCUACCUAUAAGACUGGGAUAACUUCGGGAAACCGGAGCUAAUACCGGAUAAUAUAUUGAACCGCAUGGUUCAAUAGUGAAAGACGGUUUUGCUGUCACUUAUAGAUGGAUCCGCGCCGCAUUAGCUAGUUGGUAAGGUAACGGCUUACCAAGGCAACGAUGCGUAGCCGACCUGAGAGGGUGAUCGGCCACACUGGAACUGAGACACGGUCCAGACUCCUACGGGAGGCAGCAGUAGGGAAUCUUCCGCAAUGGGCGAAAGCCUGACGGAGCAACGCCGCGUGAGUGAUGAAGGUCUUCGGCUCGUAAAACUCUGUUAUCAGGGAAGAACAAAUGUGUAAGUAACUAUGCACGUCUUGACGGUACCUAAGCAGAAAGCCACGGCUAACUACGU
rnacentral:rRNA from 1 species